AUUGAACGCUGGCGGCAUGCUUUACACAUGCAAGUCGAACGGCAGCGGGGAGGAGCUUGCUUCUCUGCCGGCGAGUGGCGCACGGGUGAGUAAUACAUCGGAACGUGUCGAGAAGAGGGGGAUAACCACCCGAAAGGGUGGCUAAUACCGCAUAAAUUCUGAGGAAGAAAGCUGGGGACCUGGGAAUAGGCCUAGCGCUUUUUGAGCGGCCGAUGUCGGAUUAGCUAGUUGGUGAGGUAAAGGCUCACCAAGGCGAAGAUCUGUAGCGGGUCUGAGAGGAUGAUCCGCCACACUGGGACUGAGACACGGCCCAGACUCCUACGGGAGGCAGCAGUGGGGAAUUUUGGACAAUGGGGGCAACCCUGAUCCAGCCAUGCCGCGUGUAUGAAGAAGGCCUUAGGGUUGUAAAGUACUUUUGUUAGGGAAGAAAAGUCAGCUGUGAAUAAUGGCUGAUACUGACGGUACCUAAAGAAUAAGCACCGGCUAACUACGUG
rnacentral:rRNA from 1 species